GACUCAUUGUGGUAGCACAUACUAAAAUUGGAACUAUACAGAGAAGAUUAGCAAGGCCUCAGUGCAAGGAUGACACACAAAUUCGUUAAGUGAUCCAUAUUUUU